rnacentral:lncRNA from 1 species
GGAAAAUGAACAACGAAAAGAUUUCAAAUCAUCACCCUUUCCUUUUCCUGAUGUUGUGCCUUCAUUUGUAGUUUAAAUGGCUAUUUCUUCUUUUUAUCUUUCAGCUAAGAGUGAACAGAAUAACGAUGUACUUCAGAAAAAAUAUGAUGAUCUUCAAAAGAAAGUCGGUAAGUAUCUCUGAUGACCUCUUUGUUUCCACAGCCUGUAUUAAACAAUCAGGUUUUUGGUUCUUUCAGCAUCCCCUCUCUUCUUACCUAUAUGCCAUCUUUUGGCUCACAUGUCAUCUCCAUGUCUUCCCUCUCCUCCCUCAAGGUUUCUGUUUAUGGACGUCUCCAUCCUAAGUUCUCUCCGUUUCUUUUACCCGAGACCUGAUUCCUUCUCAGUGCUUCCCACUUCAUUUCACAGGGCCCUUCCUGUAAACAUGGUCUUAACUCUGCCAUCCAGAGCCUUGGCAGGUUCGUUUUGAUUUUGUGAGAAGAAGGGGAGAGACUGAUGGACAUGUGGCUUCUGUUCCACGUUUAGCUUCUGGAACACUUCCAAUAACGUAGACUCUCUGUCAUACAGCAAAGUUCAAGGGGCCAUCCUCAUGCCAUUGAUGCCUCCCCAAAGCUUAUGAAAUAAAACAAGGCUGCAAAUUUGCUGAGUGAUGUUU